rnacentral:rRNA from 1 species
CGAACGCUGGCGGCGUGCUUAACACAUGCAAGUCGAACGGAAAGGCCCUGCUUGCAGGGUCCUCGAGUGGCGAACGGGUGAGUAACACGUGGGUGAUCUGCCCUGCACUUCGGGAUAAGCCUGGGAAACUGGGUCUAAUACCGGAUAGGAGCCAUUUUUAGUGUGAUGGUUGGAAAGUUUUUUCGGUGUAGGAUGAGCUCGCGGCCUAUCAGCUUGUUGGUGGGGUAAUGGCCUACCAAGGCGGCGACGGGUAGCCGGCCUGAGAGGGUGGACGGCCACAUUGGGACUGAGAUACGGCCCAGACUCCUACGGGAGGCAGCAGUGGGGAAGAUUGCACAAUGGGCGCAAGCCUGAUGCAGCGACGCCGCGGGGGGGAUGACGGCCUUCGGGUUGUAAACUCCUUUCGCUAGGGACGAAGCUUUUUGUGACGGUACCUAGAUAAGAAGCACCGGCUAACUACGUG